CAGCACCUCAAGUGGUCAGGAUGAUUAUUGGGCCUAAAUCAUCCGUAGCCGGCUCUGUAAGUUUUCGGUUAAAUCUGUACGCUUAACGUACAGGCCGCCGGGAAUACUGCAGAGCUAGGGAGUGGGAGAGGUAGACGGUACUCGGUAGGAAGGGGUAAAAUCCUUUGAUCUAUUGAUGUCCACCUGUGGCGAAGGCGGUCUACCAGAACACGUCCGACGGUGAGGGAUGAAAGCUGGGGGAGCAAACCGGAUUAGAUACCCGAGUAGUCC
rnacentral:rRNA from 1 species